rnacentral:rRNA from 1 species
CCCUUAGAUGUUCUGGGCUGCACGCGUGCUACACUGAUAUUGCCAAUAUGUCAUUCUUAUCCGAAAUGGAUUGGGUAACCAAGUAAUGAAAUUUCAUGCUUGGAAUCGGUAAUUGCAAUUUUAUCGUGAACGAGGAAUUCCUAGUAAGCACUAGUCAUCAGCUAAUGUUGAUUAUGUCCCUGCCCUUUGUACACACCGCCCGUCGCUACUACUGAUUGGGUGUUCAAGUGAGAUGCUUAGACCCUUGUUGCAUGGUUCAUUAUUGUGCUCCGAAAGGAAAAAGUUUCAAGCUUGAGUGUCUAGAGGAAGUAAAAGUCGUAACA